AGGGCAUUGAAGCUCAGAGUGGUUGACGCCUUGCCCCAAGGUCACACAGCCAAUACGUGAUAGUGCCAGAAUUUGAAUUGGUUCCAAAGCCUGUCUAUUUCUCAGAUCUUUCACUUCAUUGACUCUUCACGAGUCUGUAAAUUGGGACUCUUCCUCAUUCUAUCGAUGAGGACAUGGGCUCAGGAGAGUCACAGCAAGUUGCCCAAGACGACACAGCAAGGAAGAGACAGGUAGAGUGGUGUUCAGACGGAAGGCUGACUUCAGAGCUGCUGGAGACCUGCAGCGCCUCGCAUCUUCACAAAGCUUGCGCAAGCUGUUUACAGAGACCUGAAGCCGUUUGGAGCACUGCCUACAAAAGGAAACGGAAGGCCAUAGGAGCACACAGCAAGAAGGCAGCCAUCAACAAGCCAGGAGGAGAGUCCUUAACAGAAAUGAAAUCAGCCAGCUCUUGAUCUUGGACUUUCUCACCUCCAGAACUGUGAGAAAUAAAUGUCUGUUAUUUAAA